rnacentral:rRNA from 1 species
GGUUGUGACGCCAGUCGCAUCGCCGGGUAGCUAUGUUCGGAAGGGAUAACCGCUGAAAGCAUCUAAGCGGGAAGCCUACCUCAAGAUAAGAUUUCCCUAGGACUUUAUGUCCUCUAAAGAGCCGUUCGAGACUAGGACGUUGAUAGGUUGGAUGUGGAAGCAUAGUGAUAUGUGAAGCUGACCAAUACUAAUUGCUCGUGAGGCUUGACUAUACAACACCCA